AGUGAACGCUGGCGGUAGGCCUAACACAUGCAAGUCGAACGGCAGCACAGUAAGAGCCUGCUCUUACGGGUGGCGAGUGGCGGACGGGUGAGGAAUACAUCGGAAUCUACUUUUUCGUGGGGGAUAACGUAGGGAAACUUACGCUAAUACCGCAUACGACCUACGGGUGAAAGCAGGGGAUCUUCGGACCUUGCGCGAUUGAAUGAGCCGAUGUCGGAUUAGCUAGUUGGCGGGGUAAAGGCCCACCAAGGCGACGAUCCGUAGCUGGUCUGAGAGGAGGAUCAGCGACACUGGAACGGGGACACGGUCCAGACUCCUACGGGAGGCAGCAGUGGGGAAUAUUGGACAAUGGGCGCAAGCCUGAUCCAGCCAUACCGCGUGGGUGAAGAAGGCCUUCGGGUUGUAAAGCCCUUUUGUUGGGAAAGAAAAGCAGCAGGUUAAUACCCCGCUGUUCUGACGGUACCCAAAGAAUAAGCACCGGCUAACUUCGUG
rnacentral:rRNA from 1 species